AUAAAGUUCAAACAUAUUCACGCAUCCAUAUUGACUCGGGCACUGUUCAUGGGUCAUUUUUCUCCUACAGUGGGGUGACACGUAUCUGUUUAUUGCAUAUGAUUAUUUUUUCUUUGCGUUUGGCAGUAACUUUCCACCAGUUUUUCCUGAGAGUUCGGUAACCGGCUACCGGCAAACAGAUUUGUAGCGCGUUUGUUCACCAGUCUCCUCCCGGUUUCCUUUCCUUGAUGUGUUUAAUUUGGUCAAAGCGGUGCUGGACCCACCACCGAGCAAUUUUGCGGUUUUGGAUUGGGACGUGGGAUCUACACGUGCGUCCCUAAUCUUCUCUCUGGACGUUUCUCCACUAUCUCCACCUCCAUCCGCCUCCCAUCAGGUCUUCUCUCUGAAUUGGGUGAGAUGACCGAGCUCUUUCUUCCCUAAUCGCCGCCGUUCCCUAAUACUAGCAUUCCCUCCGGCCCUGGCCGUUUUCCACGCUCGCCCAAACUGCUCGCUCGCGCCGCGCUCCACCGGCUGGCACGGGCUGCCGCGCGAUGGCCAGCCGCCGCCCCUGCGUGUGCCUCGCGCCGCCUGCGCCGCGGGGCCGACAACGGUGGCGGGAGGCAUGAAGAAGGCCGCCACGGGGCUGCCAGCAGGGUCAGCGGCCUCCUCUACGGUGAAGACGGCAGGGCAUGCUGCUGCGGCGUCAUCUCUUAUCUCCGGCAAAGGCGGUGACAAUGGAGGCGACCGGAAGGCUGCUGCUGCUUUACCCAUAGCAGUCGCUUCGGGGGAUCCCGCCGCGGUGAAUGCGUGGUGGAUGGGCAAGCUGUUUCCGUUGGUUCAUCGAAGGUAGGCGCGCUGCGAUCCCGCACAGGUGAGGGGUGCGGCCGGGCGGAAGUCUUUUUUUCUCACCUUCCUGAUCUAUUUCCUUAUCAUUACCCUCUAAAUUGUUCUCAGAUAUGUCCUUUUUUGCGGGUAAUUUUCCUCAGAUAUGCCCGUUUUGAUUAUUACCUUUACCUCUCUGUGUGAUAUUGUUCGUCUGAUUAUUUUGUUUCAACGAUGGUAUACAUCAUCAUUUCCAGGCUAUUAGAUGUGAUGCCUGAGAGAAGAGGCUCUUAGGAAUAGCAAAGCUGGAGAUGGUUAAUUCGUUUUUGUGUUUUAGAUAAUCCUAUUUGACAUAAAUUUACCAUAAUUUUGACUCAAAGGAUGAGAAGAGGAGGAAGGUAGCAGUGUGAGUACCGGCAGAGGAGGUGGCAGGAAAGAGUGCCGCUGAUGAUGGCAUGCUGAGGGGCGACGAGAUGGCGGCAGCCUUCGGCAUGGCAGCACAUCAAGAUGCGACGCCCAGUCAUAUCCGUUUGUUGUUCUGUCCGCUGAGAUGCUCACAUGCGGGAGAUCUGUCCUGCAAAGAACCCGGCUGGAAAUUGUGUGGGUGGGCAUUCAGUAACUUCCCCAGCUAUUCAGAACUAAAUUCUUGGAUGUUAACCCAUGGUUUUUCUCUGGUUAUUUACGCCCAUGAUAGAAUCAGUACCAGCCAGCCUUACAUCUAUAUCCUUUUUUUCAGCCAGAGCCCCUUGCCCUGUCUUUCCACUGGAGCAUUAUCAAAUCCACAUUUACAGCUAAUGGUAAGGUUCUACAUACCGAAGUAACUAUACCAUCUACUGGAUCAAGCUGGAUCAAGCCAAGACAGAAUUCAUUAGAGAUAAUGUUAUGGUUAAGAAUCCGAUCAUCUUUCUUCCCAAGGUUCUCCACUACUAUGCAAAGGCAAAACGAUGUUGAACUACAGUUGCCUCAUCUGAUUGACAUGGUAUGCAAGAGCAUGCCUGAUGCCCAACAAAAAGAAAUGAGGAAACAUCUCUGGAGGACGAUAGAUAGGUGUGUUGAAUGGUUGCCAUAAAACUUUUCGUUCAUCCUUCUCCUUAUCUCUUCACAGAUCUUUCGUCUAGAAGUGAAUAUAAACAACACCGGAGGCUUCUCAUAUGAAUCUUUUAUAGAGUUCAUAGAUGGCUGAAGCUUUUUAUAUCUAUUCAAUCAUGUCUCUAUAUGUUUUUCGGUCUUCACCACAGAUCUUUCGUCUAGAAGUGAAUAUAAACAACACCGGAGGCUUCUCAUAUGAAUCUUUUAUAGAGUUCAUAGAUGGCUGAAGCUUUUUAUAUCUAUUCAAUCAUGUCUCUAUAUGUUUUUCGGUCUUCACUACGAAUUGUUUCCCUGUAUGGGAAGUAUCAUUUUUUCUAGGUAUGUAUGUCGUCUUCUACCCUUUAUCUGGAGAUUUUGUGUGACAUGCAUGUGAACAACUCCUAUCUAGAUAUGCCCCUUGCAGUAAUUUACUUGGCCAAGACAACUGACUUUAGAUGAUCCAGGACUUUACUCAAGGGCUAUUUCAUAAUCAUUUUUUUUCUGUAAUUGCACAUGUUGCAUUAGCACAUAGAUGGGAAUAACAUCCACAAAGAUAAAUACCGACAAUUUAGAGGCACCUCUUAAAUUAAAAGGGCAUAAAGGGAUUAGUGACCAAGAUUCAGAGCCUAAAUUCUUCUAAUUGCCCUGCCGACUCUAUUUUCUUGAUGGUUCAAACUCAAGAUAUUAUUUAGGCUCUGUGAGAAGAAUAGGUACUGUUUAUUCACAACUUUAAUUGUUCAUAACAACCUAUUCCUAUGAUCCUGAAUCUUUGAUUGUUCCAAGUAUUUUUUACCAUACAUAGUUAGAUGAAUAAAAUUAUUCUUAGGUUGUCUUCUAUGUUUCUUUUGAGCACUCUGCGUUAUUGCCAACAGGGUGUGUAUGGAUAAAUCUACUCGCGUCCUUUAGCUAUCUCCACUUAUUGAUGUAAUUUUGUAGGAAGAUGGUACACUAUUGUAAAGAAUGCAAUUUGCACUUAGUUGUGUGUCAUCUGCUCUUUGUUAGCUUGACUUGAGAAGUGCAUAUCUCAGAUGAGCAAGGCAAAACUAUUAAAUUUGUAGUGAUUUAGAUAAGGUCCGAAGCUAUAGUUCCUACAGAAGCUCAUGUAUAUCGUAGUUGUUUUCAUAAAUUGUAUUCUUCUUUCACUACACAUAUGACAUAGCUAUCUUGAGAUCUUAUUUUUGCCUGAUAAAUAUACUAAACUGUACAAUUAAUAACAUACAUGAUGUGUCUAUUUGCCAAAACCUACCUUUUCUCAUGGGCAGCUUUAUGGUGUCAUCUCAAGGAUAAUUUCUAGGAGAGGGAUGAAUACCCUUGCGCACGAUGAAAAUGGAGAACCAACUUUACAGACAAGAAACAUGAGUGUACAAAGAGAAUCAGAACUAUGUUCAAGGGCUCGACCCGAAGCUGGUGCAACUGAUGGUUACAGAUUUUCGGUGCUCAAACGACCAAUGAGAAAUAGAUCCCUUGCAAAUAUAAUGGACUUAGGCUAGACAGAGGUACCAUAUACACAGUGUUCUCUUUUCUGUACUUUUUUAGCUACUCUCUGUAUUCUGUGUUGUUGUACAUGGCUGUAAAAAACAAGUAUAUCAGGAGUCUCCCUUUUUAUUUU